UUUGCUAAUAUAUCUAACAAGGAAAAUGGGUGUGAAAGGCAAAUUAAUUGCUUCAGUAGAGGUGAAGUGUGGAGGAGACUUGGUUCUUGAUCUUUUGCACACCAAUACACAUCAUAUGCCCAAAAUAUGUCCUAGUUAGAUCAGCCAUUUUGAGAUUCUUGAAGUGAAACCAUAAAGGUUCGUUCGAUAUAUAACUGAAAAUAUAACGACGAUGGAAAAGAUAAGACUGCUAAGGGAGUAAUUGAAGACAUCAAUCAUGAGAAGAAAUCAAGCACUUAAAAAGUGAUUCAAGGAGAUCUGCUAGAGUUAUACAAUUCUUUUACUGUUAUCACAUUAGUUGAAGAUCAGUGGGCUACAUGUACAUCGGUGUACGAGAAAAAAACAUAAGACAUACCAGAGCCUCUCGUUCUCUUGGUUUGGGCCCUUGAUGUGAUCAAACAUAUGGAAGGUCACCUUCACAAGUAUUAGAAGAUAUCUGGAGGUAUCCGAGCACUCUCAGCAUUACAUAUGUGUGUAUAUACAUGUGUGGGGCGCGCGUGUAUUUGCACAUACACACAUAUAUCUGUGUGUGUCUAUGAGUGAGUUUGCGUUAUAUAGUAUUAUAUUCUGUAAUAUUGGCUAGUUCUAGCCUGCGUGUGAAAUAAAUGAUGUUGUGUUAAGAAUAAAGUAUAAGGCAAUCUCCUUCUAUGAAUGUAUUCUCAAUGGCCAAUAUAUGUAAGAUAUGAUAAAUCUUUUUAAGUAUAAAUACAUUUUAUAUUUGUAA